GACGAACGCUGGCGGCGUGCUUAACACAUGCAAGUCGAACGGAAAGGCCCUGCUUUUGUGGGGUGCUCGAGUGGCGAACGGGUGAGUAACACGUGAGUAACCUGCCCUUGACUUUGGGAUAACUUCAGGAAACUGGGGCUAAUACCGGAUAGGAGCUCCUGCUGCAUGGUGGGGGUUGGAAAGUUUCGGCGGUUGGGGAUGGACUCGCGGCUUAUCAGCUUGUUGGUGGGGUAGUGGCUUACCAAGGCUUUGACGGGUAGCCGGCCUGAGAGGGUGACCGCCCACAUUGGGACUGAGAUACGGCCCAGACUCCUACGGGAGGCAGCAGUGGGGAAUAUUGCACAAUGGGCGGAAGCCUGAUGCAGCAACGCCGCGUGCGGGAUGACGGCCUUCGGGUUGUAAACCGCUUUCGCCUGUGACGAAGCGUGAGUGACGGUAAUGGGUAAAGAAGCACCGGCUAACUACGUG
rnacentral:rRNA from 1 species